CAGCAGCCGCGGGAAUACGUAGGGUGCAAGCGUUAAUCGGAAUUACUGGGCGUAAAGCGUGCGCAGGCGGUUAUAUAAGACAGAUGUGAAAUCCCCGGGCUUAACCUGGGAACUGCAUUUGUGACUGGCCGGCUAGAGUAUGGCAGAGGGAGGUGGAAUUCCACGUGUAGCAGUGAAAUGCGUAGAUAUGUGGAGGAACACCGAUGGCGAAGGCAGCCUCCUGGGCCAAUACUGACGCUCAUGCACGAAAGCGUGGGGAGCAAACAGGAUUAGAUACCCCCGUAGUCCCUGUCUCUUAUAC
rnacentral:rRNA from 1 species